rnacentral:lncRNA from 1 species
AGACCUGUCCCACGCGCGACUUCCCGCUGGCAAGAAACACGCGGACACUCUACAAUUGUUCUUGCAUUAAACAUGGACUGGCAAAUGCAGAUUCUGAAAAUGACCCCAUUGAUGCCUUCCUCGGAAAGUGUAACACCAAGUGCUAUGCACUGCCUUUGUUCUUUGCCUUUUUCUUUUCGUCAAUUGUCUUUUCCAGUUCAGCUAGUAUACCUAUCACCUUGAUUAUCCUCCGAACUUUACCUACAAGUUUACAUUCACUGGGCCUAGCUGUGACCUAUACAAUAUUGAGAAUAUUUGGUUCCAUCCCUGGACCACUGCUUUUUCGAAUAGCAUCAAGUAGUUCUUGUUCUUACUGGGACAUUAAUAAAUGUGGACUCAGAGGACAUUGUUGGAUAUAUAAUAAGUUUAAAAUGAUGUCCAUAUUGAUGGGAUUAUGAAACUUGUUGAACUGUGCCUCUACAGCCCACAUUUCUCUCGGUGCUUCUUGAAUAACCCAUGAUGCUCUGCGCACACAGAUCGACUGCUCUUCCAGCCCACAGAUUCUUCACAGUGAUCUCACUCUCUGGUAUUUCUUGCAAAUUAAUCUCAACCUUGCUCUCCCUCUUGGCACUUUUAAAGUAUAAUGUUUUAAGAGUUGGAAGUGAGGGCGUAAAGAAAACAAAAGAAAGCAAAACAAGAAAAACGUAAUUCUUAACUGAUUUCUUCUUUGGUUUCCUGAGCUCCGAGGAACAAGAUUUGAUUGAGACAUCCCAUCUAAAGGACUGGAGAACCUGUGAGGGUCCAGGUUCGAAGGACAGCAGCCUAUCCUUUGGAGAUUUCCUAAGAUUGUGGCAGCACUGUAAUUUCAUAAGAGAAAAUUAUCAGAAAAAUAUCUAUGCAAAUUUUCAUUUCAUUAAUAAAGAAUACUUUUGUG